GGAGGGCUGACAGAGCGGCCUAAUGUGACGGUCUUGAAAACCGUUGUUCCGCAAGGAACCGGGGGUUCGAAUCCCUCGCCCUCCG
rnacentral:tRNA from 1 species